rnacentral:lncRNA from 1 species
CUUGUGUCUCUAACAAAAUCCGAUUGUUGCUGCCCAUUUGCCCUCGAUCCUCCACGUGUUCCAAAGUUUUUUCCUUUAAAAGAAAAAUUUUGAUUGAAAAUUUUGCCUCUUUUAGUUUCCUUGGUUGCAUCUUUCAUCUGCUCAAGAAAAUUUUGGAAAAUGUAAGAUUUGGAUUCCUCUCCAUUUUUUCUUUUUUUUAAGCGAUGUAAGAGGGAGGAAUUAUUGUGUUACACUUUAAUUAUAUGCAUAAGUUAAAGACUUGUAAUUCAUAGGCAGCAGGAGUUGGACUGGGAGCAGUAUCUGGUAGAAGGUGUAAGAACGGAUGAGGCCAUUCUUCUGGAUCUGUC